AGGCCUUUGACAACAUGUAAUCUGCUGACCUUUUGGAUCCAGCCAUCCUCAUCGUUAAGUGGCUUUCAGCGAGCCAAUCGCUUGCCCUCACAGGACCAUCCUCCCCGAUGGGGAGAGCGCAGCUGCUCCAGAACACGAUGAGUAUCCUUCCAGUCCCUGGGAAAUACUCAACUCCAUAUGGGGUAAAAUCCUGUCCAUAUCAACAUUCAACAUGCUUAUCAAGGGAAAGCAAAGGUCUGAUGUGAAAGUCACAGGGCAGGCACAAGGUAAGCCCCAGGAAGUUGUUAAUCAGUAAGACCUACCUUACUGGCUUCUAUUCCCAUCUGAAGACGGGAAGCAGAGAUCAGCCCGGAAGUUUCAAAGCUCCAGCAGACAAUCGUGAACUGUGAUGAGAUCCAAGCUAGGGACAGAAGGAAAAGGCAGCAAAAGAGGAUGUUUUUGCUGAAGCCGACAUGUGCUGUUUUCUGGAAGUUGCCUGGUGAAAGGGCAUGUGACGUUUUGCUGGAGCAGAUGCUUGAGAGGUCACGUGAUGUUUGGAAAGAGUAUAAAUAGAACCCAACUGACAGUGAAUGAUGCUCUUGCCUUGGUUGACUUGCCACUCUUUACUGGUCUUCGCUUGGCCUCACUGAGGCUGUACUUCGCCGACAACAUUCUUGCAUUAGCUCAUCUUGCUUAAUCUUCACUUGUUUUAGCUUUGUAAAGAGAAAUUCACCAAAGACCUUCUGGUGGUAUCCCGCUGCUUCUUGCCACUUCUCGGGUUCAUGCCAAUCCAGGGAGCCUCGCAGUUUCUUCUGGAUGGAGCCACUGCUACCGAUUCAUGUUUGGUGUUUUGCUAGUGGAUUGCACUGCUGACAACGAAGACUGGAAUCACCCAGAGACUUAUUUCUGAACAGGUUCACUAAACCCGAUUCCUAGUAACCUUUCUUUCCCUUACCACUGGUGGGUGAUGAGCUAGCAGGGAGGUUGAAGCAUGUAGGAACCAUAAGUUAAGUAGGUUUAAAAAUCAAAGCCUACAGUCACUGACAAAGGUCUAAAGAGGCAGGACUCACGUGUGGUGCUGUGAGACUCACUCCACGCUGGGAAACUCUUUGGCAGUUUCUUUAAAAGUGAAGCAAGGACAUGCACCACUACACACUGAUUCCACCCACCCGUAUUCACCCAGGGGCUGUGAAUCACACACUCCAGCAAAGGCAUGAGCCAAUGUUCUUAGCAAUAUUUAAUUAGCUGCCUGGCUCAGGAGAAUGACGUUUAGCAGGUAAAUAAGAAGGAAAUAUUCUGAGGGAAUGGCCAAAAUUGACAUGUGAAUGACUUCAGAACCUGAUAAAAUCACAAAAUAUCAUUGCAUUCUGCAGUUAAAGCAGACAGACCAUACCUGCUACCUUGGGACAUUAUUUAGGCAACAACACUUCCAAUAAUACAAGGAAGAAUAGGGUAGCCUUCCCCUAUCUGCACCACCCCCCGCCCCAUGAACAGGGGAGAUAUUCACAAUUGUCUGGACUCAGAAAUAUGGAGAUAAUUAGUCCAAUUUUAAACGACGCUCUAGUUUCAUCCAAAAACUCAAGAUACAUGUAACUUAACUGCAUCUCAGAAAGAGGAGGCUUAAAAAUGUUAAAAAGUGGAAAGACAUAAAGCCCCAAACAAGGCGAAAUUCACUAUAGUAUCUAGAACUCAGUCAACAAUGAGCAGCCUGUGCCUGUUGCUUUUCCUGUUGCUGUGACAAGAGGCCUGGCACAGGCAAUUCAGGAGGCAGUGUUCUUACUCCCUCUGGAUGGUACAGCACAUCACGAUGGGGUGUAAGGUGGCUGCUCACUCUGAUUGCACAGUCAGAGGCAGAGUGAGGAGAAAGGCUGAGGUUCAGGCUGCUUGGUCCUUCUUGUCCAGUGCAUGACCCCAGCCCGUGGAAUGAUGCUCUCUACAUAUAGGGGCCUCCUCCCUUCACUCUACUCAAUCUAGAGAAUCCCCCACCAUAUACUACAUGCCCAUACGCUAGUCUCCUCAAUGAUCCUAGAUCCUGUUACCUUGACAAUCAAUAAACCACCAAAGGAAAAAUAAGUAGGAUACACACAAUAAAAUAAAGAUUAAAAACAGCUACCUGAAAACAACACAAACCCAGAAAUGGUAGAAUACAGACAACACUAAGUGCUUAUUAUCGCUUUUUAUAACACAGCAUAAUUUCUUUAAUUUUUUUCUUAAUUUUUGAGAUUAUAAUACAAUAAUUUCCCCUUCCUUUUUAUCCCUUCAAACCAUCCCAUAUAUGUAUCUUUGCUAUCUUUCAAAUUCGUGACCUUUUUUAGAUUAAUGCUGUCACAUGCCUAUAUGUAUAUGUGUCUAUAUACCUAAAUACACAAAUACACCCA